rnacentral:rRNA from 1 species
UGCGUAGGCGGGUCUUUAAGUUCAGGGGUGAAAUCCUGGAGCUCAACUCCAGAACUGCCUUUGAUACUGAAGAUCUUGAGUCCGGGAGAGGUGAGUGGAACUGCGAGUGUAGAGGUGAAAUUCGUAGAUAUUCGCAAGAACACCAGUGGCGAAGGCGGCUCACUGGCCCGGUACUGACGCUGAGGCACGAAAGCGUGGGAGCAAACA